AUUGAACGCUGGCGGCAGGCUUAACACAUGCAAGUCGAGCGGGGGAAGGUAGCUUGCUACCGGACCUAGCGGCGGACGGGUGAGUAAUGCUUAGGAAUCUGCCUAUUAGUGGGGGACAACAUCUCGAAAGGGAUGCUAAUACCGCAUACGUCCUACGGGAGAAAGCAGGGGAUCUUCGGACCUUGCGCUAAUAGAUGAGCCUAAGUCGGAUUAGCUAGUUGGUGGGGUAAAGGCCUACCAAGGCGACGAUCUGUAGCGGGUCUGAGAGGAUGAUCCGCCACACUGGGACUGAGACACGGCCCAGACUCCUACGGGAGGCAGCAGUGGGGAAUAUUGGACAAUGGGGGAACCCUGAUCCAGCCAUGCCGCGUGUGUGAAGAAGGCCUUAUGGUUGUAAAGCACUUUAAGCGAGGAGGAGGCUACUUUAGUUAAUACCUAGAGAUAGUGGACGUUACUCGCAGAAUAAGCACCGGCUAACUCUGUG
rnacentral:rRNA from 1 species